rnacentral:rRNA from 1 species
UACGGAGGGGGCUAGCGUUGUUCGGAAUUACAGGGCGUAAAGCGCACGUAGGCGGCUUUGUAAGUUAGAGGUGAAAGCCCAGGGCUUAACCCUGGAAUUGCCUUUAAGACUGCAUCGCUAGAACCGUGGAGAGGUGAGUGGAAUUCCGAGUGUAGAGGUGAAAUUCGUAGAUAUUCGGAAGAACACCAGUGGCGAAGGCGACUCACUGGACACGUAUUGACGCUGAGGUGCGAAAGCGUGGGGAGCAAACAGG